rnacentral:pre_miRNA from 9 species
UCUCGAUAGCGUAAAAGUUAACUCAAUUUUGUAUGCAAUUGGAUCGUCUGCCUACGUUUGCCGCUAGGGGCGCUGUUCAAACUGCAUACAAAAUUGUGUUAACCUUUACGCUAUCGA